rnacentral:misc_RNA from 1 species
AUCAUUUUGGUUAUUAUUUUAAUUCCCAUUGUUCAGUCAUUGUAGUACAAAAAGUUGUUUUAAGUAAUCGGGGCCGUUUUGACAGCUCAGAUCGAACCAAAAAUGGCCCAACCUAAAUCUAUCCAAACAUUUUUAUGCCCUGAUUCAGUAUUUUUGGGGUCAUUGUUGCACAAGAUUAGGUUCGACAUCAGCCGAAAUCACUUUUUUAAUGAUCCUUCCGCAGGUUCACCUACGGAAA